UAUCUUGGGGGCCUGGGGGUACGAGCCUUAAACUUGCUCUUUGGUGCCCUGGCUGUCUUCCACCUGGCCUACCUGGGCUCCCUGUUUGAUGUCGAUGUGGACGACACCACAGAGGAGCAGCAUGUAUGUACACCAGAGGAAAGCAUCAUAUCGCGCAAGACUACAGUUACAGAUGGCUGUAAGCCACCAUGCUGGAAAUUGAGCUCACCCACUACACUGGACUCUUCUGGAAGAGCAGCCAAUGUUCUUAACUCCUGAGCCAUCUCUUCCCAAUUUUUAAAUUCCUAGUUGAAAAUAAAAUUUCACAUUAUUUUCCUAAUCACAAA
rnacentral:lncRNA from 1 species